rnacentral:rRNA from 1 species
AACGAACGCUGGCGGCAUGCCUAACACAUGCAAGUCGAACGAGACCUUCGGGUCUAGUGGCGCACGGGUGCGUAACGCGUGGGAAUCUGCCCUUGGGUUCGGAAUAACAGCGAGAAAUUGCUGCUAAUACCGGAUGAUGACGUAAGUCCAAAGAUUUAUCGCCCAAGGAUGAGCCCGCGUAGGAUUAGCUAGUUGGUGAGGUAAAGGCUCACCAAGGCGACGAUCCUUAGCUGGUCUGAGAGGAUGAUCAGCCACACUGGGACUGAGACACGGCCCAGACUCCUACGGGAGGCAGCAGUGGGAAUAUUGGACAAAUGGGCGAAAGCCUGAUCCAGCAAUGCCGCGUGAGUGAUGAAGGCC